rnacentral:rRNA from 1 species
UACGAAGGGGGCUAGCGUUGCUCGGAAUCACUGGGCGUAAAGCGCACGUAGGCGGCUUUUUAAGUCAGGGGUGAAAUCCUGGAGCUCAACUCCAGAACUGCCUUUGAUACUGAGAAGCUUGAGUCCGGGAGAGGUGAGUGGAACUGCGAGUGUAGAGGUGAAAUUCGUAGAUAUUCGCAAGAACACCAGUGGCGAAGGCGGCAUCCUGGACCGGCAUUGACGCUGAGGCGCGAAAGCCAGGGGAGCAAACAGG